rnacentral:rRNA from 1 species
GACGAACGCUGGCGGCGUGCCUAACACAUGCAAGUCGAGCGGGGAUUUAAGUGGAAGUUCUUCGGAAUGGAGAUUUAAAUUCUAGCGGCGGACGGGUGAGUAACGCGUGAACAAUCUGUCCCGGACAGGGGGAUAACACUUGGAAACAGGUGCUAAUACCGCAUAAGACCACGGCCUCGCAUGGGGCUGAGGUAAAAGGAGCAAUCCGGUUCGGGGUGAGUUCGCGUCCGAUUAGCUAGUUGGUGAGGUAACGGCCCACCAAGGCGACGAUCGGUAGCCGGCCUGAGAGGGUGAACGGCCACAUUGGAACUGAGAGACGGUACAAACUCCUACGGGAGGCAGCAGUGGGGAAUAUUGGGCAAUGGGCGAAAGCCUGACCCAGCAACGCCGCGUGAGGGAAGAAGGUUUUCGGAUUGUAAACCUCUGUCCUAUGGGACGAAGGAAGUGACGGUACCAUAGGAGGAAGCCCCGGCUAACUACGUG